AGGACGAACGCUGGCGGCGUGCUUAACACAUGCAGGUCGAGCGGAAAGGCCCUUCGGGGUACUCGAGCGGCGAACGGGUGAGUAACACGUGAGUAACCUGCCCUAGGCUUUGGGAUAACCCUCGGAAACGGGGGCUAAUACCGGAUAUUCACUUCCUGCCGCAUGGUGGGUGGUGGAAAGUUUUUUCGGUCUGGGAUGGGCUCGCGGCCUAUCAGCUUGUUGGUGGGGUGAUGGCCUACCAAGGCGACGACGGGUAG
rnacentral:rRNA from 1 species